rnacentral:lncRNA from 1 species
GCACUUUCAGGAAGAGCAAUGCUGAGGGAGGUCCAGGUGCCGAGAGAACAGGCACAAAAGAGGACCAGGAAGGGGCAGGGCCUGCUACAGGAGCCGGCCACAUGUGCCCAGCCUUUUCUUACAUUUCAGAGAUUUCAUGGCAGUGUUCCUGCAAUGGGAACAGGCUGAAAAAUCUGAUCAUGCUCAAGUAGUCACCCAGUUCUCAUCUUGGGCUUUAUUGUGGGACUGUAAUUGGUGUCCCUGGCCAGAAGGUUCUCAGCCAAGCAGUGGGCAAUUGUCAGUGCACAUCGGAAAGGUGAACCCAAUGAAAGGCUUUGGGACAUCAAGCCCCACAUGCGAAAUAUGGACCUAUAGGAGAAACUAACUAGAAACAUGAACUUCUUUGCUGUAAUUAACUCUUUGGACUGGCGAGGUGCUUUCAGUGGAAUCACUAGCUGCUAAUUCUUCUUUGCCUCUCCCAUCUCACUGCUGGGACUUCAGUGAUGUGCACCCUGGACUGCGUCUUAGGGCUUCAGAGCCUUGAGAGGACACAGAAGAAUGGAAAGUACCUACCAUUUAAUUGGAGCUGACAAUUUCUGCUAUG